CUAUCAGGCAUAAAUAUACGGGGCCCAUUGAUACGGGAGAGUACGGCCUCCGACCCUGACGUUAGACACUCUAUUCUAAGAUAGUAAACGCGUCGUAGCAGUUGGAAGAAAAAAACAUCGAUCUGCACUACUAUGCCGACUGACUGUAAGUAUUCAUAUGAGUGUAUUAUGAUUAUAUUAUGACUAUGUCUAUGUGAAUCAGCUGUUUAUAUCUGACUGAAGCAGCGAUUACUUCACAGCGAUUCGCGGCGCCGGAGGCGAGAGCGUGAAACAGCAGCUGGGUCCACGUGGAAGUUUGCCUGAUAUUCGGCUCAACAUUCAAAGACCGAUUCUAGCAGACCAGACUAAUGUGGUGACAAGCGGUAGUUUUGUACCUAUCGAGGCCAAUGUCAAUCAGCGAACCCCCGGACCAAGUCGACUGUCCAAGAAGAAUUUGAAAAGAUCGGCGGGGGUAGUGGUGGCUAUACCCUGCUCACCACUGGCCAUAGAACAGCUACAAAUUCCUUAUAAAAAGGCUCGCAAGGACGCCACACAUAGUGGUUUAGCUCCGGAGAAUUUUAACCAGGUUAUCCAGGCAGUCAUCAACCCGCAAAUCGCGCAACAUGGAGCGGCAUGGUCUGAUUCCAAACACCGCGUGAUCGGGGACGUGGAGGUGCAUGUGUCUGCGUCGCCUACAGAGACCGUCACAGUGCAACCGGAUGGGACUAUACAACACGCCCAUGGAGAUCCCCAGUGUGCGCCACCACCAGGGCUGACCGCCGACGAUUGGGCUGG
ensembl:lncRNA